AUUGAACGCUGGCGGCAGGCCUAACACAUGCAAGUCGAGCGGAUGAAGGGAGCUUGCUCCUGGAUUCAGCGGCGGACGGGUGAGUAAUGCCUAGGAAUCUGCCUGGUAGUGGGGGAUAACGUCCGGAAACGGGCGCUAAUACCGCAUACGUCCUGAGGGAGAAAGUGGGGGAUCUUCGGACCUCACGCUAUCAGAUGAGCCUAGGUCGGAUUAGCUAGUUGGUGGGGUAAAGGCCUACCAAGGCGACGAUCCGUAACUGGUCUGAGAGGAUGAGCAGUCACACUAGAGCUGAGACACGGUCCAGACUCCUGCGGGAGGCAGCAGUGUGGAAUAUUGGACAAUGGGCGAAAGCCUUAUCCAGCCAUGCCGCGUGUGUGAAGAAGGUCUUCGGAUUGUAAAGCACUUUAAGUUGGGAGGAAGGGCAGUAAGUUAAUACCUUGCUGUUUUGACGUUACCAACAGAAUAAGCACCGGCUAACUUCGUG
rnacentral:rRNA from 1 species